rnacentral:rRNA from 1 species
AUUGAACGCUGGCGGCAGGCCUAACACAUGCAAGUCGAACGAGUGGCGGACGGGUGAGUACUGUCUGGGAAAAUGCCCGAUGGAGGGGGAUAACUACUGGAAACGGUAGAUAAUACCGCAUACCAUCGGAUGUGCCCAGAUGGGAUUAGCUAGUAGGUGGGGUAACGGCUCACCUAGGCGACGAUCCCUAGCUGGUCUGAGAGGAUGACCAGCCACACGGGAACUGAGACACGGUCCAGACUCCUACGGGAGGCAGCAGGGGGGAAUAUUGCACAAUGGGCGCAAGCCUGAUGCAGCCAUGCCGCGUGUAUGAAGAAGGCCUUCGGGUUGUAAAGUACUUUCAGCGAGGAGGCGUUACUCGCAGAAGAAGCACCGGCUAACUCCGGGCCAACAGCCGCGGUAAUUC